UACGGGGGGAGCAAGCGUUGUUCAGAUUUACUGGGCGUAAAGGGCGCGUAGGCGGCCAGCACAAGUCAGUUGUGAAAUCUCCGAGCUUAACUCGGAAAGGUCAACUGAUACUGUGCGGCUAGAGUGCAGAAGGGGCAACUGGAAUUCCUGGUGUAGCGGUGAAAUGCGCAGAUAUCAGGAGGAACACCGGUGGCGAAGGCGGGUCUCUGGGCCGAUACUGACGCUGAGGAGCGAAAGCGUGGGGAGCGAACAGG
rnacentral:rRNA from 1 species